GAGUCUCGCAGAUCCCGCCCACCGUCGGGUAAUCGUCGGUUCGACUGAACCCAACUGCAGUGCAGAGUCGGAAUGGGGGGCUUGGCCCCGGUCCAGCACGGUCCAAAUUAGCUCUCCGUUGAAUUACAUGCAGUCAGCCAGUGGAAGCAGCUGAGAUCCUGACGCCCCAGUCCCGCAGCCUUGUAUGGGGGGUCCGAGCCCCGCAAGCCUGCCGCUCGGGUCCGCUUUCGUCCACGAACGCCUUUUCCAGCAGCAACUUUACAGCGAAAGGACAAGAACAAAGACUUUAUGUGUUCUUUCUUCAAAAUGACACCAACAGGAGCAAUGGGGGAUCCCAUUAGAGCUCACAGCGGUGUUCCUGAACCUGGUGGCGCGGA